CAUACAAGCAAAAAAGUCAACCAGAUUCUUUUGUGCAAAAAAGCCAUAGACGUUUUCAAAAGACAGUUAAGCAUAGCAAUUGCAAAUUUUAUCUUCUCAUCAAUCCUCCCAGUUCUCAUCAAAUCUCCUGGUCGGCGAUUGUGGUCAGCAUCACAACACCUGCAUUAGAGAAGUCAACCUGCAACUCUGGAGUUGGUGUCAUCAGAUUGGCUGAUCUCCUACACAGGGCUUUAAACUAGGUUCAUCAUGGGACAGGGAUGCAGACAACAGUGAGAACCUCAGAUCAACAAACCACAAGCCAUGCAUUGGAACAGCCCAUGUCACAAAAUGCAUAAACGCAGGAAUAGAAGUGGAUGUCAUCUACUUGGAUUUUAAGAAGGUUUUCAAUAUGGUAUCUCAUUAUAUUCUUAUAGAUAAACUGAGUGACUGUGACAUAGAUGAUUACAUGGUC